rnacentral:rRNA from 1 species
UACAUGGGGUGCAAACGUUGCUCGGAAUUAUUGGGCGUAAAGCGCACGUAGGUGGUCUGUUAUGUCAGAUGUGAAAGCCCUCGGCUUAACUGAGGAAGUGCACCUGAAACUGGCAGGCUUGAGUACGAAAGAGGAUCGCGGAAUUCCCGGUGUAGAGGUGAAAUUCGUAGAUAUUCGCAAGAACACCAGUGGCGAAGGCGGCCAACUGGUCCGGUUCUGACGCUGAGGCGCGAAAGCGUGGGGAGCAAACAGG